UAUCCCACUGUCUUGGGAUAUUCUUAUCCAUCGGUGCGUGAGGAGUAAUUCUCGGGUGCUAAGCAGAUGGAGACAAUGUGAUAAAUCCCUUAUCCACAUAGGGAGUAAUUG
rnacentral:ncRNA from 1 species